rnacentral:rRNA from 1 species
AUAGAUACCCUGGUAGUCCACGCCCUAAACGAUGCGAACUGGAUGUUGGGUACAUUACGGUACUCAGUGUCGAAGCUAACGCGUUAAGUUCGCCGCCUGGGGAGUACGGUCGCAAGACUGAAACUCAAAGGAAUUGACGGGGGCCCGCACAAGCGGUGGAGUAUGUGGUUUAAUUCGAUGCAACGCGAAGAACCUUACCUGGCCUUGACAUCUGUCGAAUCCUGCAGAGAUGCGGGAGUGCCGCAAGGAACGACAAGACAGGUGCUGCAUGGCUGUCGUCAGCUCGUGUCGUGAGAUGUUGGGUUAAGUCCCGCAACGAGCGCAACCCUUGUCCCUAGUUGCCAGCACGUAAUGGUGGGAACUCUAGGGAGACUGCCGGUGACAAACCGGAGGAAGGUGGGGAUGACGUCAAGUCCUCAUGGCCCUUACGGCCAGGGCUACACACGUACUACAAUGGUCGGUACAGAGGGUUGCGAAGCCGCGAGGCGAAGCCAAUCCCAGAAAACCGAUCCCAGUCCGGAUCGGAGUCUGCAACUCG